GAUGAACGCUAGCGGCAGGCCUAAUACAUGCAAGUCGAACGGUAGAGGGGGCAACCCCUUGAGAGUGGCGAACGGGUGAGUAAUGCAUCAGAACGUGCCCAGUCGUGGGGGAUAACGCAGCGAAAGCUGUGCUAAUACCGCAUACGAUCUUUGGAUGAAAGCGGGGGACCGAAAUGCCGCGCGCGAUUGGAGCGGCCGAUGUCAGAUUAGGUAGUUGGUGGGGUAAAGGCCUACCAAGCCAACGAUCUGUAGCUGGUCUGAGAGGACGACCAGCCACACUGGGACUGAGACACGGCCCAGACUCCUACGGGAGGCAGCAGUGGGGAAUUUUGGACAAUGGGCGCAAGCCUGAUCCAGCAAUGCUGCGUGCAGGAAGAAGGCCUUCGGGUUGUAAACUGCUUUUGUACGGAACGAAACGGUCUGGGUUAAUACCCUGGGCUAAUGACGGUACCGUAAGAAUAAGCACCGGCUAACUACGUGCCAGCAGCCGCCGUAA
rnacentral:rRNA from 1 species